rnacentral:snoRNA from 1 species
AGCACUAUUUUUAAACCCAUUGGUGGAAUUUCCUGACCACCGUGGGUUACGCUAUAGUGCAAAAGGAUCUCCUGGCUCUUUAGAGCAUCGCUGACCUUGUUGUGUGCAGCUGAUGCUCCUCCUAAGCUCAGGAACAGAA